GCGAACUGGGAACCACGGGGAACCAGGGUUGGAGGCGGCAGCAGGAUGGGACUGGGGACUGGUAGUGGGCAGAACAGCUGACCUCUUGGUCCCUCUCCCAGGUCCACAGACUGGAUGGCAAACAGGGAAGUGCUUCAUUCUAUAUGGAAAGAAGAAAGAAAUAAGACAAAAUUUACUUGGAACAGAAUUCACAGAAGAUAGUUAAGUAAUUAUGAAGUUUCAGCCAAACACAAAAUUUUCAAUAAAGAAUAUCCUAUCUAAUAAAAGA